GGCGGACGGGUGAGGAAUACAUCGGAAUCUACUCUGUCGUGGGGGAUAACGUAGGGAAACUUACGCUAAUACCGCAUACGACCUACGGGUGAAAGCAGGGGAUCUUCGGACCUUGCGCGAUUGAAUGAGCCGAUGUCGGAUUAGCUAGUUGGCGGGUAAAGGCCCACCAAGGCGACAAUCCGUAGCUGGUCUGAGAGGAUGAUCAGCCACACUGGAACUGAGACACGGUCCAGACUCCUACGGGAGGCAGCAGAC
rnacentral:rRNA from 1 species